CCAAGACUAAGCUUUGCAGAGCCACGUGGUCCAUCCUUUGCAGAUCUCCACAGGACAGUCCUUCUCUUUUGUUCACGCCACUCUUCCUUAUAGUAGGAGGUAUUUACUGAGCAUUUUAUAUCAACGCUGCCGAUAGGCCCCUCCAUGGAGUGAUGUUCUCAGUCCCGCCUCCCAAGGUAAUAAUGCACAGAGACUUCAGUCUCUUGUCUUUCACUUCAGGCUGUGCCACCCUGCUUUAAGCUACGCGCUGCACCAGUUGUGUAUUGCACGCAAUCCAGACCGGACCAUCUGAGGAUUGCUCCACUCUGCUGUAAGCUUAGCGCUGUUCCUGGUUGUGUGACUGCAAGCAGCCCAGACACAGACACGCAGCCCAGUACCUUGGUGCUUUCCCCUCAGUAAUUGGUGCUCGGUGCUUCGGCGCCCCUGUGUCUAGGCCUCGACACCCGCGGUACCCUCGGGUCCUCGGUGCCUAACAGCCUCGGUGCUUCAGCACUCUCGGUGCACUAAAGCCUUGACGUCUCGUGCCUCGGCGCCCUCGGUGUUCAAGUGCUCCCAGACAUUGGUGGCUUUGUGCAUAGCCUCGGUGCCUCUGUACUUCAGCAUCCUCGGUGCCUCAAGGACUAUACGCCUCAGUGCUUCAACGCCUCGAAGGCUUUUUGAGCCCUGUGCAUCUGCGCCCUCGGUGCCACUGUGCCAACCUACUCCAGAGCCUCGGUGUCUCGAGCGCUCCACGCCUCUGCGCUUCGACGCCUUCGAAGCUUCCAAGCCCUGUGCAUCGGUGCCCUCGGUGCCCUGGCACCCCAUAGCCUCGGUACCUCAGUGCUUCGACACCCUCGGUGCCUGGAGGACUAUACACAGCGCUUCAAUGCUUCGAGGCCUUUAAGCUUUGUGCCCCAGUACCCUCGAGACCCUCGGGUCCCUGGUGCUCCAUAGCCUCGGUACCUCAGUGCUUUGAUACUUGAACUUGUUUGGGUACUUGAUAAAUAAAAUAUCAGUAGGUUAAUACAGAUGUGAUGUGGGAUGUAUAACUUGAUUUAUGCUGUUAAUUAUAACUUUUUAAAUUUUAGAAAUUUUGAAAAACUGAAUAGUUUCUAGCAGUUUAACUAAAAGUGAAAAACACUGUAAAACUAUUAUGAAAUAACAUUGCAAACAAGGGUUAUUUCAAAACUAAACCUGUGAAUCUUUCUUUAUUUAUUGGUGUUGAGCAUGUUUUAAAACACAAAAAAGGUGUUUUCCUAAAACUGAAGUCUCAAAAAGGGGGAAGCGACUUUUACGCCAGUGCGACCUAUAAAGCGAUUUUUAUGGUAAUGGUUGAUUUGCAAAAAAAACAUAGGUAAGCCAGCACACUACAGCAGUUUCACUUCAUUAUAAGCUGCAAACACUUUUGUAGUACAUCUUGUUUAACUUACAGCGCUUCUACACAAAUAUAAUUACACAUACCUAAUUACACAUACCUGCCGACAAAUAAUUCCUAAAGACAAUUACUCGGAUUCAGCACACUCCUAAUUAUAAAUAUUAUUAAAAUCAGCAUUUUCUUCGUCUGACACAAACCACACUCUCUUAGAACUGUGUUGCCUCAAAAAUGAACAGCAUCUCCAAUUUGAAUGCAAGCAAAACAAAGAUUGGCAUAUGACUUGGCCGUCCGUUCAAAAUGUACGGACACUCACGGGCCACCUAUUGACGAGCCCUUUACUAUAAGAUUGCAGCCAGGCAAUCAUAUUGUAUGGAAGGUCUAGGUCAAGGUCAAGAUCACCCAGCAUUUUUUACUGCAUUCAUGUGCAGUGGAAUUAUGUAAUGCUGACUGUGCCUCUUAAUCUAAAAAUUGAAUUACCAAAAUAUUUUACAGAGAAAACAUAGUUUGGAUUAGCAUACUGCUGUGUGUAUUGUCUACAACCUCCUAUAUUGUUUUGCACGGAUUGUAUGCAAAAGAAUAACGAUCAUGCUCAUGUUGACCUACAGCCAACAGCCUUCUGCUUUUUUUGACUGCGGACUCACCAUGCAGCCACAAAAAGCUACAGCGUCGGAGGACAACGCAGCUCUCAGGCAGCUUACAGGCAAGCCCGCAGGCGCCCGGCCAGACUACAGGGGUCACUGGUGCGCGGUGAGCCGAGGACACCCUGGCCGACCUAACCCUCCAUCCCCCCGGGCAGUGCUCGGCCAAUUGAACGCCGCCCCCUGGAAGCUCCCGUCCUCGGGCGGUAAAGGAAUAGCCUGGACUCGAACUCGCGACGUCCAGACUAUAGGGCACAUCCUGCACUCCACGUGGAGCGCCUUUACUGGAUGCGCCACUCGGGAGCCCUAAUAGCUCCACAAUAAUAUGACAAUGUUUUGUGAAUUAUGCAAAGCAUUGGAGAAUAUUAAAGAUUCUAUCUUGCUUUGUAUCUUUUCAACAAGGUGUGGUCCAGGAAUGGGAAGCUAAUCCCUUGUGUAUCAUGGGAUAAUGUCACUUUCAUGCACUACAUCUGUCUGGCAGUGCCUGCUUCAAUGCAGAGAUAAGCUGUCUUCUGAAAGCCAGGCAAUUCAUUCUCAUAGUUAAAGUGUCAGACUUUUUAAUAAUGUUUAAGUAUACAUAAUCUAUUUCCUUACUACUGUUUCCUUUAAUAUGAGUGAAUAAAAAGCUGAUUUUAAAGUACUUAUAAAUGUCUAUUUAAUGUUAAUCAUCUCUCUGUCUCUAAUAAAGCCCCAGAUGUGAAACAGUACAAGUAAUAAUGUUUGAUAGAACAAAGCCUGAGAUUAUUUUCAGGAUAAAUUGAUAUUGUGACUUAAAAGGUUUGCGGACAUCAAAAGGAAUAAUGCCACUAUUAAAAUUGCAAUGUAUUCAGUUUAAUUUUUAUUAUAACAAAAUACAUACUAGAUCAAGAUGCUGUGGUUUUACAUGAUGGGUUGCCCUCUAUUCAUCUCAGUGCACUUACAUGUGUUGCAUAUCAGUGGCAUAUUAUCUUUUGUUUAAUACUACAUCACAAGAGAACAGCUAAGAAUGCAUGGACUAUAUAUUAAACAAUUGGUUUUCUGACUACUUUUCUUCCAUUGAAUACCAAGCUCCCAUCACGCUGCUCUUACUUUUGGUAUCACAGACAAGGGAAACAUUUUCCCUCAUUUAAAU